rnacentral:rRNA from 1 species
ACGCUCGACACCUACUGGAGGCAGCAGUGGGGAAUAUUGCACAAUGGGGGGAACCCUGAUGCAGCGACGCCGCGUGAGUGAAGAAGUACUUCGGUAUGUAAAGCUCUAUCAGCAGGGAAGAAAAUGACGGUACCUGACUAAGAAGCCCCGGCUAACUACGUGCCAGCACGCCGACGGUAAUCUGAGGCGGGCGUGGACGAAGGC